rnacentral:rRNA from 1 species
CAAUGGGAUGCGAAUCUCGAAAGCCUGUCUCAGUUCGGAUUGGAGGCUGAAACCCGCCUCCAUGAAGUUGGAUUCGCUAGUAAUCGCGCAUCAGCCAUGGCGCGGUGAAUACGUUCCCGGGCCUUGUACACACCGCCCGUCAAGCCAUGGGAGCCGGGGGGUGCCUGAAGUUCGUGACCGCAAGGAGCGACCUAGGGCAAAACUGGUGACUGGGGCUAAGUCGUAACAAGGUACC